rnacentral:rRNA from 1 species
CACGUAGGGGACGAGCGUUGUCCGGAUUCAUUGGGCGUAAAGCGCGCGUAGGCGGCUCGGAAAGUCGGUCGUGAAAUGCCGGGGCUCAACCCCGGGACUGCGUCCGAUACUCCCGAGCUGGAGGCAGGUAGGGGAGAUCGGAAUUCCUGGUGUAGCGGUGAAAUGCGCAGAUAUCAGGAGGAACACCGGUGGCGAAGGCGGAUCUCGUGGGCCUGUACUGACGCUGAGGAGCGAAAGCGUGGGGAGCGAACAGG